rnacentral:lncRNA from 1 species
AAAUCCAUUGCAGCGUAAUUCUCUCAUUAUGUACCGGAAAUAAAUCUCUCUUCUGUAUCUCAACUACAAUUCAAGAAACACGCACUGUGCAGAAUCUCCAGCAAUCAAAUUGUAGAAAUUCAAAAUUGUUGAAUACAAUUGUUCGUUGACAUCAGUACAAAAAUUCUUAAAUCUAUAUAUGUUCUUCGUCUGUUUUUCUAUCAACUAUACGAAAUUAUGUCAAAAAUCCCAAUAAUGUUGGAAUCGAAUGGCCAUUGGGAUAACUAUGAUAGAUUUAGAGAUUUCGAAGUUGAUUCCAUUUUUGUAGAUGAUAAUACAAGCUAUGGAAUUCUCAUUUCUACAAUUGCAGAACAAUUAUCGAUUGAUACAUCGGAUAAAAUUAUAGAAAUAAAAUACAUUGUGAACGAGAAUUGUCUUCCAUUGGAGAUUAGGAAUGAUAUGAGGGUUCGUGUAUAUAUUGAAACGAAAAAGGAGAAUAAAAACUUAGGUUCAUAUCCCUUAUGUAUUUGCGUAGGAGAUUUCAAUAUGGAAUUGGCAAUCACCAAUGAAAGCAUCAGUACAGGUAUGUUUGAUUCGACAUUGCAGAGACUUAUUGUAUUACUUAGUUAUCUACAAUAUAACGACAUUUGCCUACAAUUAAACUAUUAUUAUCAUAUAGUACUAGAAAGGAUAAAGCGAUGUUGCUUUCAAAUUAACCUACAUAGUUACUACAUUUGUGAAUUUAUUGUUUGCAGGUUCUUCAGGAUCCCUAAGGUUAUUAGAAAUUCCAUCCUCGCCAGCUAUAGAGGAAUAUCAAAGUGAAAUAAUAAUUGAAUGUAAGCAAACAUGUAUUGAAGAAGGACAACUGUAUCAGGACAAGAAAACAAUAGCUGCUGCAAUGAAGAAUUAUUCAGUUAUGCACAAGUUCCAGUUCAGAGUGAAAAGAUCAAGUCAUAGAAGGUAUGUGGACACGUGUAUCAGGACAAGAAAAUAGUAGCUGCUGCAAUGAAGAAUUAUUUCGUGAUUCACAAGUUGCAGUUCAGAUUAAAAAGAUCAAGUCAUAGAAG